UUAACGGGAGCUAAUGCAUUUCAUUGUUAUUGAAAAUUUAAAAGGUAUCUUUUCGUUAAU
rnacentral:tRNA from 1 species